rnacentral:rRNA from 1 species
GACGAACGCUGGCGGCGUGCUUAACACAUGCAAGUCGAACGGAAAGGCCCUGCUUUUGUGGGGUGCUCGAGUGGCGAACGGGUGAGUAACACGUGAGUAACCUGCCCUUGCCUUUGGGAUAACUUCAGGAAACUGGGGCUAAUACCGGAUAGGAGCUCCUGCUGCAUGGUGGGGGUUGGAAAGUUUCGGCGGUUGGGGAUGGACUCGCGGCUUAUCAGCUUGUUGGUGGGGUAGUGGCUUACCAAGGCUUUGACGGGUAGCCGGCCUGAGAGGGUGACCGGCCACAUUGGGACUGAGAUACGGCCCAGACUCCUACGGGAGGCAGCAGUGGGGAAUAUUGCACAAUGGGCCGAAGCCUGAUGCAGCAACGCCGCGUGCGGGAUGACGGCCUUCGGGUUGUAAACCGCUUUCGCCUGUGACGAAGCGUGAGUGACGGUAAUGGGUAAAGAAGCACCGGCUAACUACGUG